rnacentral:tRNA from 1 species
GGGUAUAUAGCUCAGCGGUAGAGCACAUGCUUAGCAUGCACGAGGGCCUGGAUUUAAUCCUCAGUACCUCCA